rnacentral:lncRNA from 1 species
UCAACCUCAAAAGAAAAGUACAUGAAAACAACCCAGACCCUCGCCAGUGCAGGCAGAUUGUACAACAUAGCACUCUAUCUGGUGGUCCUCUACUGAAAAUGCAUGCUGGUAGGAGAUGCUAACUACUGCGCGAUCCCUCUCACCUCGAUCAACUGACAGUAUACGAACCCCUGAAAAGCAAACCACCAAAGGGUGUGAGAACUACUAAACAGUAGUUCCCAGUGGGUACGGUCAACGAUAACCACGACCUUCCCACUAG